GUGAAACACUUGACUUUGUUUUUGGGUUUGAACUUUGAAAGAUGAAAUUCUCUCCGAUCACCAUUCCCAUUCCAAACCCUAGUCCUUCUCCGCCGUCCGAUUUCUUGUACGACGACGGUGAAUUCGAGAAGCUCUUCGUUUUCUUACAGUGUAAUUUGCAAUCAAUUAAGAAAACGAAAACGAGAUUUCUUUCUCUCCAUCUCGAUUCGUGUUUGGCGUCAAUGUUCAUGAAGAAUCUUCAAACCCUAGAAAUGUGUUUUUAAAUUCGUGCAGAAAAAGUACAAACAAUAGAUAGUUUCUUGAUUCCACAUUCAACGAAUCUGCGCUCUCUCAAGGUUUUAUAAUGUGACUCUCAACAUUGGGCACCCACCAAGGCCAUAUUUUCUUGAUAUUGACACGGAUAGCGACUUAACAUGGCUUCAAUGUGAUGCACCUUGCUCCCGUUUCUCUCAGGUCUGAUGCGUGCGAUUGCUCCGGGUCUGAUACGGGAUAGUCCUUUGCUGAAUUCGCUACAACGGCUGAGCCUGGUUCUGCGCACACAUAUACGGCUGCUGUUAAUUGGAAAAGUCUGACCCCGGGGCAAUUCAAAUUCAAUACUAGUGCAUCCUUUGCGUCACAUUUAAAUAGAAUUGGGAUUGGAAUAUGCAUCCAUGAUGAACUUGGUCAAUUUGUGCUUUCAAAGACAUAAUUGAUUGCCCAUCUUUGUGGAGUGGAUGUUGGUGGACCUCUUGGUGAGUAUAUGUCCCUAAAAUGUCGGUAUGUCCCUUGAUCUCUCUAAAUUGAGUUUUUGUCCCUCGGUCGGUGUCCCUAAAUUGAGUUUAUGUCUCUUGAUGUCCAUAAAAUUGAUGGUCUAAAUGCAAUUUCAAUGUGAAUAGUUAUUCAUAACCACCAAUGUAAGUGGAGAAGACCCUUGACGCCUUCGAUGCAAAAUUGAAUAUCUGUCCCUUGAUUAAUUGAAUACGCGUUGGAUAGAAAAAAAAAUGAUAUUUGAGGCUAUAUGGUUCAAAAUUUGAUAAAGAGGAAAGAUGAUGCUAUCGUGCCCGAAUACAAAAUUUGAUAUUUAGAUGAUGUGGUCCUAAAUUGUCGGAGAAUGACAUUGGAUGUGGAAUUUGAUAAACUGAAUUGAUGGCAAAUUACAUUGGAUACAAAAUUUGAUAUUUGGAUUGUGGUCUAAAUUUGAUAAAUUGAAUUGACGGAGAUGAAUUAUGUGGUCCUAAAUUUGAUUACCAGAAUUGACGGAGAAUGACAUUGGAUAUGAAAUUUGAUAUUUGUAUUAUGUGGUUGGAAAUUUGAUAAAUUGAAUUGACGGCGAAUGAUAUUGGGUUGAUAUUUGGAUCAUGUGAUCCUAAAUUUGAUAAACUAAAUUGAUGGUACUAUGAAUUCUUAUUUUAUGGUCUAAAUGCAUUUUGAAUAUGAACAUUUUAUUCAUAACUUGAAAUGCAAGGCUAGAUGACCCUUAGAUUUUCUCAUAACGGUAAAUAAGAAAGAUGAUUGUGUGUGUGCCUUGGUGCUUUAGAUGCGAAAUUGAGUAUAUUGUCCCUCAAUGUCCCUAAAUUGAGUUUAUGUCCCUCGAUGUCCUUAUAUUGAGUUUAUCUACCUCGAUGUCCCUACAUUGAUGGUCUUAAUGCAAUUUCAAUGUCAAUGCUUCAUAACUUCAAAUGUAAGUGGAAAAGUCCCUUGGCACCCUAGAUGCAAAAUUGAAUAUAUGUCCCUCAAUGUCCCAAAAUUGAAUAUAUAUCCCAAGAUGUCCCUAAAUUGAAUAUAUGGACCUAGAUGUCCCUGAAUUAGAUGUUCAUAGUUCUGGUCUGUUUUGUUGCCUAUUAUGAAGUUUACGGAACAACGUUUGGGAACAAGUGCUUGACUCAAGCUUUAUAGUCGAAAAUUGUGUUCAUCGGUUACUUUUUUUUUUAACAGCAAAAUAUAUUAUUAUAAAUUGUGUUCAUCAGUUACUUAAAUGUCGGAACUUUUUGGCGCAGAGAUUCUGUUCUGUUUCAGGUCUGAUGCAGGCUGAACCUGCGACUGCUUCGGGUCUGAUACAGGAUGAUCCUUUGCGUCACAUUUAAAUAGAGUUGGGAUUCGAAUAUGCAUCCGUGACAAACUUGGUUAGUUUGUGCUUUCAAAGACAAAAUUGAUUGCCCUUCUUUGUGGAGUGGAUGUUGGUGAACCUCUUGGCAGAACAUGUGACUGAUUCGGGUCUGAUAAGGGUGGGUGCUUUGCUGAAUGCUACAGUGGCUGAGCCUGAUGCGGCGCAGACAUAUUCGACCGCUGUUAAUCGGAACAUCCCGACUCCUUUGCGACACAUUUAAAUAGAGUUGGGAUUGGAAUAUGCAUCCGCGACGAACUUGGUCAAUUUGUGCUUUCAAAGACAUAAUUGAUUGCCCAUAUUUGUGGAGUGGAUGUUGGUGGACCUCUUAGUGAGUAUAUGUCCCUAAAAUGUCGGUAUGUCCCUUGAUCUCCCUAAAUUGUGUUUUUGUCCCUCGGUCGAUGUCCAUAAAAUUGAUGGCCUAAAUGCAAUUUCAAUGUGAAUAGUUAUUCAUAACCACUAAUGUAAGUGGAGAAGAACCUUGACGCCUUCGAUGCAAAAUUGAAUAUAUGUCCCUUGAUAUCCGUAAAUUGAAUAUAUGUUCCUCGAUGUCCCUAUUGAUGGUAUGAAUGCAAUUUAAAUGUGAAUAUCUUGAUUAUCCAACAAUGUGCUAAAUUGGUGAAUCUUGAUUAUUCUUACCUAAGAAGGCUAAUAAUUUGAAUAUGAACGUUUUAUUCAUGACGGUAAAUUGGAAAGAUGGUUGUGUGUCUUGGUGCUUUCGAUGCAAAAUUGAGUAUAUGUCCCUCAAUGUCCCUAAAUGGAGUUUAUGGGAACAAGUGCUAGACUCAAGCUUUACAAUCGAAAAUUGUGUUCGAGUCUCAAUGACCCUAUAUUGUUUGUUGAAAUGCAUUUUCAUUAUGAACUUACUCAUAACUUGACAUACAGCUCAAAACAACCCUUGAUAUAGUGGCUAUAUAAUGCUUUCUUUAUAAUGAUAAAUUGGCACGGUAGUAGUGUGCUUUGGUUACCUUAUAUGCAUGAUUAAUUAUAUGUCCCUUGAUGACUUUGAAUGCAAAAUUCUAUAUUUGAGCUUUGGUAACCGAUUGUUGGCCUAAAUGCAAUUUUAUUAUUAAUGUGUAUUAAUAAUUUAAAAUGCAUGUUGAGAU